rnacentral:rRNA from 1 species
AUUGAACGCUGGCGGCAGGCCUAACACAUGCAAGUCGAGCGGAUGAAGGGAGCUUGCUCCUGGAUUCAGCGGCGGACGGGUGAGUAAUGCCUAGGAAUCUGCCUGGUAGUGGGGGAUAACGUCCGGAAACGGGCGCUAAUACCGCAUACGUCCUGAGGGAGAAAGUGGGGGAUCUUCGGACCUCACGCUAUCAGAUGAGCCUAGGUCGGAUUAGCUAGUUGGUGGGGUAAAGGCCUACCAAGGCGACGAUCCGUAACUGGUCUGAGAGGAUGAUCAGUCACACUUGAACUGGGGCACGGUCCAGGCCCCUUCGGGAGGGCGCAGUUGGGGAUAUUGGACAAUUGGCGGAAGCCUUAUCCAGGCAAGGCGGCGUGUGUAAAGAAGGUCUCCGGAUUGUAAAGACCUUUAGGUUGGGGGAAAGGGAGUUAGGUUAAUCCCUUGCUGUUUGACGGUUCCAACAGGAUUAGGCCCCGCCAACUUCGGG